GAAUUUGUAAGUGGUCAGCCUGGGGACAGUGAGACUGGAGAUGCGCGGUCACGAGACUACUCCAUUUUUUUCUUUCAGCCUUUGAAUGAAUACAACGUUGCCUGGUUGGAAUAUUAUCGCUAUUUUACGAGAAGAAUAGCAUAAAAAUUGAUUUUAAACAGCGUUUGACAUGCUUCUAAGUACGGUAAUGGAAUAUUUAGAAUUUUUUGUCACGAAAUGAGAUCGCGCAUCACCCUUCGGAUAGUGACCUGAACGCACGAACAAAACGGAGCUAUUUGAAUAUAACUAUGGAUUAUUUGGAACCAAAACAACAUUUGUUGUAGAAGUCCUGGGAGUGCAUUCUGACGAAGAACAUCAAAGGCCCAUCCCUCCCCCCCAUGUCAUCGAGGGCCAGCCAGCGUACACGGUGAGACGCCUCCUGAGGGUUCGACCACGGGGCAGGGGUUUCCAGUACCUGGUUGACUGGGAGGGUUAUGGCCCGGAGGAGCGG
rnacentral:lncRNA from 1 species